UGUACACACCGCCCGUCGCUACUACCGAUUGAAUGGUUAUAGUGAGCAUAUGGGAUCAGUAGGAUUUGACUGGCAACAGUCAUUUCCUGCAGAGAACUAUGGCAAACUAGGCUAUUUAGAGGAAGUAAAAGUCGUAACAAGGUUUCCGUAGGUGAACCUGCGGAAGGAUCAUUA
rnacentral:rRNA from 1 species